UGGUCUGUAGUGUAGGUGGUUAUCACAUGAACCUCUCACGUUCAUGACCUGGAUUCAAGUCCCAGCGGGGGAA
rfam:Thalassiosira oceanica strain CCMP1005 To_g41615, whole genome shotgun sequence.